AUGGCGAUUCGCCGGCAGCGCCGCUCCUUCCCGCUCGUCCCCUUCCUCGUCUCCCUCCUCGCCGUCGCCGCCUAUGGCCGCCUCAUCUCCGACGGCAUGCCGGCCACCCCGUCCUCCUCCGUCCUCGCGUCUCCGCUGUCCUCGGCCGCCAUCCGCCUCAACUCCUCCUCGCCGGCCACCGCCGCGGCCGAGGAGUGCGAGCAGACGUACGGCUUCCUCCCGUGCACCACCACCGUGUUCGGGAACAUGUUCCUGGUGCUCACCUACGGGUUCCUCAUGUUCAAGGCGGCCACGUUCCUGUCGGCCGGCAGUGAGCUGCUGCUGGAGAUCAUGGGCCCUGGCCUCGUCGGCGGCCUCCUCCUCCCCAUCCUCGGCGCCCUCCCCGACGCGCUCCUCGUGCUCGUAUCUGGUCUCUCUGGGACUAAAGAGACCGCACAAAGUCAGGUCCUCAUUGGGAUGGGGCUGCUUGCUGGUUCGACCGUCUUUCUUCUCACCCUGCUUUGGGGAACUUGUGUUGUUGUUGGCAAGUGUGAUGUUGGGGAAGACGGUGUUGCUAUUGAUUCAACUGACACUAAGGGCUUCAGCUUGAGUGGCUCUGGCAUUACAACUGAUGUGCAGACCAGCUAUGCAGCACGAAUCAUGGCCAUUUCUGUUAUUCCCUUUGUCAUUGCUCAGUUCCCGAAAAUGUUGUAUACUCACCAUGGGGAGCGCCUGGCCAUCUUGCUGGCCCUAAUUGCAUCGUUCUCACUUGUACUCGCCUACUGCCUGUAUCAGGUUUUCCAGCCUUGGGUUCAGAAGAGGAAGCUCGCAUACGCAAAGCACAAGCAUGUGAUCUCUGGGAUCCUACAGCAUGCCCAAAAGCAAGCACUGGGCCGGAUGCUUAACGAUGACGGCUCACCUAAUGAAAACGUCAUAAGAAAGCUGUUCCACAAGAUUGACAAUGAUGACAGCCGUAACCUGUCACGAGCAGAGCUACAUGCGCUUAUUAUCGGGAUCAACUUUGAUGAGAUUGACUUUGACAAGAAUGAUGCAGUCGAUAAGAUCAUGGACGACUUUGAUACUUCAGGCAAUGACACUGUGGAGGAGGAUGAGUUUGUCGCGGGAAUGAAAACAUGGCUUAAUGAGGCGAAGCAAAAAGUGGCGGCUAGUGGUGCCUACUCUAAUAAGUUUGUCAACGACUACCACGCUAGAACCAGGGAGGAGCAUGACCAGUUGGUCGACAGAUCUGACGAGGCAGUGGAGAGCGUCGAGAACCCUGGCUGGUGCAUUGCCAAAGCCGUGGGGUACCUGAUUCUCGGUGCUACCAUUUGUGCCGCAUUUGCAGACCCGCUCGUUGAUGCUGUCCACAACUUCUCUAACGCCACACACAUCCCGUCCUUCUUUGUCUCGUUCAUCGGCCUCCCGCUGGCAACCAAUUCCAGCGAGGCUGUCUCGGCCAUCAUCUUCGCCAGCAGGAAGAAGCAGAGGACUUGCUCCCUUACUUUCUCGGAGGUGUACGGCGGUGUGACCAUGAACAACACACUGUGCCUGGGCGUGUUCUUAGCGCUCAUCUACUUCAGGGAGCUGACGUGGGACUUCUCCUCGGAGGUGCUCGUCAUCCUGCUCGUCUGUGUCAUCAUGGGCCUCUUCACAAGCUUCCGGACCAGCUUCCCGCUCUGGACCUGCCUGGUGGCGUACCUGCUGUACCCUCUGACACUCGCCGUCGUCUACGUCCUUGACUUCGUCUUCGGCUGGUCAUAG
rnacentral:rRNA from 1 species